AUUAUUUUUAUUAUUUAAUUAAACAAGAGGGUUGAGAAAAUUGGGGCUAUAUUUAAAAUUACCCUCAAUUAAAUUAUGAAUGGCCCAAGAGUAAAUGAGGGCGGCUCAACUGAGUAAAAUAACUUAGCCGAAAGCAAUUAAAAGGAAAAGCCCAAUCCCUAUAUUUCCUCCCCCAAUACACAGUUCUCUCGCGCAAAUCAGAACACACCCACAGUCCUACUCUCUCUCCCGCUCCGCCGCGAACGGUUCCGGCGAGGUUGACGACCAGCCGUGUUUCCUCUCCUCGUCUCGUUCCUUUUUCAAUUCCUCAGAUUGUUUUCCCUUCCGAAAAAUCGAGUCUUGCAUCUCUCCCGUUCUUCAAAACGUGCCCUAGCUCUUCCCCUGCCCGUAUCAUCGUCGUCACCGGUGGAGGCCGGCGAGUCCGCGUCGUCCGUGAAUCAGCGAGGUCGGCGUCGCCUCGCUCUUUUCCCCGAGCCGUUUACAAAAAACCCUAACGCACACACCAAGGUGGGUAGAGAAUCGAACCCAGGUUCCGUCAUCUCAGUUCGUCUCCGCCGUCUCUGGUACACCCGCUGCGCUGCCGCGCCGUCUGAUGGCGCCGCUGCCUCUCCGGUGUUCGUCCUCUCGUUGGUGAAAUAUGGAAGAAUGUGGAAGCAUUAAAGCCAAUCUUACCUUGAGAAUUUGGCAGAAAUGAAUUAGAGGCUCUCUACUACUCUUGAAGUCCUUAAGUGAAGAAUGAAGAGGAUGCAACAAUUGUUGGCUGGUUUUAGACUACCCACGGUCGUGACACUCAUCCAACCCAACUUUACUCAACUUUUUAAUAAAAUAUUCAUUUCUCUCGCAUCCAUCUACACAACCCACAACCUAAUACCUCCUCCAUCCACGAAAAAGAGUCCUGAUUCCCUCUUUUUUUUUGUCCACAAAAAAGAGUCAAGUUUCACUUUUUAUACAAUUAUACCCUUUAUAACUUUAUGUAUUUACUUUAUUUGCCAUUAGAGGACCCACCUCACUAAUUAAAAUUCUCUCCACUUAAACUUAAUCAAACAUAAUUAGCAAUAAAAUAACCCUAAGAUUACUUCUAAUAUUCACUCGUUCAAACCCUAUUUUCUAAAUUUGGAGCGGCGCCUCAGCCUUCUUCUUCUUCGUCUAAAAGCUCAACCUUUGAUCUCGUCGCCUUACUCCUUCUUCUUCACCUUAAGGGGCCGCCUCUCUCAAAGCAAACGUCCCUCAAAUCGCCGCCUCCCUCUGACCUAACACCCCAAAUCGUUGCCUCCCUCAAAUCGUCGCCUCCUUUUUCAAGGUGAGGAGCCACAUGCACUACGCGCCGCCGCCUCUCUUCCCCGACAAGGAACGCCGCCACCGACCGCCUCUCUCUGCGUCACCCUUCAUCCCUCGCUCUCUCUAUUUCUCAGGUAACAACGACAAGCCCUCGUUGUUCCCUCAAAUCGCCGCCUUCUAAGCCCGAAAUCCCAAAUCGCCACCUCUUUGAGCCCGAAACCCUGAUUUCGCCGCCUCACUCCUCCCGAGCUUGAAUUUGUUUUGAUGGAAUUUGUUGUUGAAUUUAUUGUCGAAUUUGUUUUGAAUUUUCAGUAAAUUGUUGAAUUUGCUGGAAUUGAAUUUGUUGUAGAGUUUGAAUUUGUUGUAAUUUCCUAAAUUUGUUGGUGGAAUUGAUUUGUUGAAUUUGUUUGAA